UGCAUCCACUUCUUUUCCAACUCUAGAGAGUUCUCCAAGAAGGAAGAACUCUUAUUUUCAACAAAUGAAGAUAGAGAGAAGUAACGAGAAAGAAAUUGAGGGAGAGAUUAAAGGGUCAAGGUUGGUGAUUAUUCAAGUUUAUGGCAGCAAGGAUGGGUCCAUUAAAGAAGCAAAAACAUUUUUGACCAAGCCCUCAAGUUUUCAAGCAAAUUAUGUCAUAAAAGCCUAAGGUAUGAGGCAGCAUAUACAUGUUGUGUGUGGAUAAACACUAAAGAGAUAUUUCCUACUCUGGUGUUAUGAUGUGCUGUGGCGCCAAUGACAGGAGGGCGACCACGUUUUGUUCACCGAGUCCCAUGAAAUAGGGCCGGAUACGGCAUAUGUAUUUGCAUAUAUGAUUUGGGAUUAUGAUAAGUAUUUUGAAAUUCUGAACAUUUAUUUCGUUUUCUGCACAUACUAUUCCGAUUAUGAUUUUAAUUUAUUGUAAUUCAUGCUUUACAUAUUCGGUACAUUUUUCGUACUGACCCCCUUUCUUCGGGGGCUGCGUUACAUGCCCGCAGGUACCGAAGUUCGAUUUGCUGAUCCACCUGUUUAGGAUAUUUACUGCGUCGUUGACAGUGCUCCCUUGUUCGGAGCUUGUAUUUUGGUACUGACUUUAUCUCUGUAUAUUUGGAUAUUUUGGUCAGGGGUACGACGGGGCCCUGUCCCGUCAUAUGACUAUGCUAUCAUCUGUAGAGGUCUGUAGACAUAGUUAUGUUGUGGGUUUUGUAUAUAUGUUUUGGGUUGAGUGUGUUUCGUGAUGGCCUAUUGGC